GUGCUGCAUGCACAAAACAAUAUGUAUAGUAUAGCCUGAGAAGAGAAAAACGUCAGAGGUGCUCAGGAUAUCAGUUACACAGCAGGCAGCAUACAGAACAUGUAGCCUGAGCAGGACAGUAGGUGAAAAGAUAGCCAGAGAUAGGUAAUAGCCAGUUGGGUUCUAUGUAUAAGACCCCUCAGAUAGAGUAGUGGGAGUAGAAGUGCAUCUAGUUGAAUGGAGGCAUAACCCCACAAUAAAACCAAUGGCAGCCAAACCCCUCUACUAACCAGCCGUGCUACUAACCCUCGAAGCCAAG